rnacentral:rRNA from 1 species
UACGUAGGGGGCAAGCGUUGUCCGGAUUUAUUGGGCGUAAAGAGCGUGUAGGCGGCCAUACAGGUCAGCUGUGAAAACUCGAGGCUCAACCUCGAGACGUCGGUUGAAACCGUAUGGCUAGAGUCCGGAAGAGGAGAGUGGAAUUCCCGGUGUAGCGGCGAAAUGCGCAGAUAUCAGGAAGAACACCGGUGGCGAAGGCGGUUCUCUGGGCCUUACCUGACGCUGAGGAGCGAAAGCGUGGGGAGCGAACAGG